GAGAGAAUUAUUGUCUCUGACAUCAAACAGAAAGCAUACUACAGCGUUGCUUGAUACAAAGAACAGAGAAGUACACUGAAGAUACAUCCACAGACAUUUCCUUUGAACGGCAUUGAAUUCCCCACUACUCACAAUGAAGAUGUUACUGGUCACUCUUCUGAUAAUCGGCUUGAUUGCUAGUACUGUGAUGACUAGUGAAGCAGCUAGUCUGCAAGGACGGAGUGAUGGCGAUUCUGACCAAUAUGCAGUCAGUGGAGAACGUCAAG